CCCUUAGAUGUUCUGGGCCGCACGCGCGUUACACCGAUGCAUUCAACGAGCUUAUAACCUUGGCCGAGAGGCCUGGGCAAUCUUGUUAACGUGCAUCGUGAUAGGGAUAGAUUAUUGAAAUUAUUAAUCUUGAACGAGGAAUUCCUAGUAAACGCAGAUCAUCAAUCUGCAUUGAUUACGUCCCUGCCCUUUGUACACACCGCCCGUCGCACCUACCGAUUGGAUGGUCCGGUGAAGCCUCGGGAUUGUGGUUCUUGCCGCUUUAUUGUGGCGUGACCGCGAGAACUUGUCUAAACCUUAUCAUCUAGAGGAAGGUGAAGUCGUAACA
rnacentral:rRNA from 1 species